rnacentral:snRNA from 1 species
GGAUGUAAAGAUAAUCUGGCUGAAACAUCUUGAUCGCCAGGGUUGAUUCAGCUGAUCUGGCUGGCUAGGCAGGUGUCCCCUUCCUCCCUAAAUGCUCCACGUGUGUCCCUCUCAAAGCUGCAUGCUCAGUCAAAGAGGAUGACCUUCCAUGACAGAGAACAACCGGUCUUCAAUCAAGGGUAUACAAGUAGCUGCACUCCCCUGCUAGAACUUCCAAACAAGCUCUCAAGUAUGUAGGUAAGUAGAGACUGAUUUACCUAUAAAUAAAUAUGAUCAAAGAGUCGGUUAAUGCCAACAAAACAU